rnacentral:lncRNA from 1 species
AGAGAACAGAAGAGGAAGGGUGGCAAGAUAGAAGGGAAGGAAGGAAAAAGGGAACAAAGGAAAGACUAAAAGGGGAGGAAAAAUGGAAGGAUACAUUAUAGAUUUGAGGCUUUAGCACUUUGUAACCUUUGUCAAGUUCUUAAUUUGACUUGAGUAUCAGUCUCUUCAUCUGAAAAAUGAGCAUAAUAAAUCUGUCUCAAGCCAGGGAUUUUGUUAAGUGGUGCCACCACCUGCCUCGCAAGCACAAAGUCCUGAGUUUGAUCCCCACUACCAAAACAAAAACAAAACCCGUCUCAUUGUAAGGAUUAAAUAUAAUGUAUGGAAAGUCCCAAGAACAAAGUCAGGUGUGGUGGUAUACACCUGUAAUUUUAGCUCUGUGUGGGAGGCUGAGGCGGGAGGAUCCCAGUGUGUUUGAGGCCAACCUGGGCUACGUAGUGACGUCGAGGCCAGCUUGAAUACAUAGCAAGACCCUGUAAAUGAAUAAAUAAAUAACUAAAAUUUUUUUAAAUCAGGAACAAUGCAGUCACCUACCUAACUGCCAGAUUUUUGUAUUUCCUAGGGAAUGUCUUGUAGCACUCAAUAACAAGUUGUUGGUUAUAUUAUUAUUGCUAUUGUUUUUUCCUCUUUAGUAGAAGGUUGGACACAAACUGAGCUGGAGGUGCCACCCAUUAUUGGGAAGAAGAGGAGGAAGAUAAGGAGGCUCGGGCCCUUGGAUCAUGGGUGGAGGCACUGACUAGAGGGAGCCUCGGCCCUUGCGGGCUUCACCAGGGGAGCCCAGUGCACUGCCUGACUCACACACACCUGACACCGGGGAGCUUAAGGGGUCCCCAGUGGGAACGGAGGGCUUGACUCAGGAAUGCUUACACAACGAGAUGAGGUCCAACCAGGAAAAAUAAGAUGAAAAUUUACAUAAAAAUUGUGUUUAUAUGAAACAACUUCCAGCACAUUAAAGCAAGACAUGCAUGCCAAAAAGAUGCCAAACUGUCCACAAGUGAUGUACAUGUAUGCCUAGGAUACUGGAAAAGAGAAAAGCAUGAUUUCAAAGUGGAAAGAUAACAUUGUCUUGGAUCUGAGACUUCUGAUGGGGCUCUCCUGUGCCCCACAUACGUGGUCAUCACUGUGCACAGACUUGGAAAAGGGCAGCAAUGUCUGGGACCAGAGGCUGCACCACACACGCGUGAGUUUACAACACACCUCUUAAACUGUAUAUGACUGGAUUCAAUCCAAGUAGUAAUGUCUUUGAACCCAGGGUUUUAUCUAAAUCGCAAGAGUUCCGUAAUGAUGUGUGUAAAUUGGCUAAUCCAAAAGAAAUGUAUAAAGUUUAAGAAAGUUAAAUGGAUUGAUUUCUUAUCAUCCCUGGCAUUGGAAUAUAUAACAUCCUUAGAGCCACAGUAAAUCUGUGCCACGAGAACAGUUCCACAUAAACGCAGAUGAGCAUUUAAACCACAUACAUGUUAAUGAUUGCUGUUUGGGGCUUUUCUGCCAAAUAAUUGUAACAAAGCAAAACAAAAGAUUGCCAAGUUGAUAGGAUUGCUUAUGGCUUAUGGCUCCUUGGGCUGGUAGAACCUGAUAAAAAUGAUGUUUUAAUCAUUCUUGGAAGUGAGUAUGGAACUGUAAUAGUUCACAGUACUGCAUGCUCAGUAGAUCCAUGCAUGCUUGCAUGGUGCUGGGUGAGUUUUGUUUGCAAGUUUGUCACAGUAACUUGGUGAAGUAAGUGCCUUUGUUUCCCUAAGAGGUUCGUUUACUUGUCCCUUCCCCCUGCUGGGUGGUAAGAGGUCAAGUGGGCAUUUGAGCUCAGGUCUGCUGACACCAGAGCCCUAUUUGUCAUCAGGGUGCUGAGUGCUCUCAGCUUAGAUCAGAACCUGCCUGCGAGUGGGAGGUGGGAGUAGGGAAGUGUUAGUCAUUCAGAGAUAGAGGAAAAGCAAUUUGAGAAAAUGGGUUUGUAUAUAGAACUAGGAAAUGACGGUGUGGAGAGUUUUGGUGAGCUGAAUCAAUGACCUGUAUUUGACUGUUACAAUUCUGCCAAGGGCCGUUCUUUGUUGUCAGUUAUUUUUAAAAAUCUUAAAGACCCAGGGAUUUAGCUCAGUGGUUCUGCCGCCAGCCCCACAAGCACAAGGACUGAAGUUCGAUCCCUGGUACCAAAAACAAAAAAUCUUCUUAAAGAGUCUAAGGUUAGAUCCUUGAGAACAGGUGAGAGGAGGAGAAAAAGUAACCAUUGAAACAAAUGAGUGAGGAGUAAGUAGAUAAAUUAGAAAAAUAAUCUGCAUGGAUUUUGAGGUCCAUUAAGAAGGGAUUGAAGCUGAGUUGAAGCAUUAUUAAUAUUUUUAAUAUUCACUGUGUAUUUGGCCAGUGUAGACACUGCAGCUUUUUCUGAGUGGGCCCUGUGUCACAGGGUAGACAUGGAGUGGACAAAAUGUGGCUCCCUCCCCAGCAUGGGAGCCCUGGGUGGUGCAGUGUUAAAUGGAGAUAGCUGGGCCUCACAGUCAGGAUAGGGGAGUGUGGGUGGCACCUGCUCCCCUGCAAUGGGCUUAACUCUCAUCAGUUAUGUGUGUAAGAGCUAAUAGUUAAAACUCCCAAAUAGGAAAAAAAACCACCUCACUAUCUAAAUGCAGCGUUCCAGUGUGAGCACCUGAAUUAGCAGUGCUGUGGAGGACAGCUUGCUUUCUCUUGCUGGGUGUGUGUCUUAAUAUGCAUUGAUGACAUGGAAGCAGAUCACAGACGGAUCACUGGCCCCCCACUAACGUGAGCCCCCUCUCCCCAUGGCUUUUGUUCCCCUACUCCCCAGUUCACUCCCAGUCAUCAUCUUUAUUCUGUGCUUCUUUGAUGGCCCUUAGGACAGUUUGUGACUAUUUCAGUGUACCCGAUCUUGGUGUCACCCCCAGCUAAAACAUAAGCUCUACAAAGGCAGGCACCAUCUUAUCAUUUUGUUCCCAGGUAGAUUCCAAACCUACUGCCAUGGUGCUUAAUAUUUGUUAACUGAACAAUGCAUACAUGAAAUGUCCUUCUCACUAACCUAGAAUAAUAAAAAACCCCAGUACACUAUUGAAAUAUCAUACCCACAGAUCACCCAAAAUCUCAAGGAGAAUUUUUUUCGUAUCGUGACUUUGAGACUGUAAUAGAAUUCCUGUGCAUUCCGGUCUGUAAGUGGGCUGCAUGCUGGGGUUCAGGGUCGAGGACUGGCCGUGCAGGACAGCAGGGAGAGAGGAUCGCUCUGGAGAAGGCGGCUUCUGCGUGGGCGGGUGACCAAUCCCACGGGCGCUUUCUCCAGCACUGACCAGUACACUUCACCAAAACUGAAAAGGAAGCUGUUUAUAGCAUCGCAAAGAUCUCAGACAUAAAGUCCCCACAAGAUAUUUUCACAUUUUAAAGAAAUUGAGAAUCAGAAAAAUUAAAUUACACAAAGUCACCUCACUGAUAAUUUUAAAAUCUUAGCUAUAAAAUCAGAUCUUGUAAAUUGAACUUGAGUGAGUUUCCUAUUAAAACACAAAGUAACUACUUGUUUUUAGAAUGAAAAUAUCAUUUUAUUCCCCAAGCUAUAUAAAUGCUAUGUGAAAGUUUUAUUGCUCUAAAAAUUUAAAGACAACAAAACAAAUUUAAAAACUCAGUCUUGUCUCUUGUUAUAUAAGCUAAUCUAAAACAUUGUCAUAUAAAGUGACCUAAAACAUUUUAAAUUAUCUAAAAUGCAAAGAAAAUCUUGUUCUUGCUUCUAAAAUCUUAGAAAUAUUGUAUACUUGUAGUUCAGCUGGCUUGUUUAUGUAAGGGAGAUUUUUUCCCCUUGAGCAUUAACUGCAGGAUGUGCAAGCAGUGUUCAAUGUUAAAUGUCUUUUAACCCAAUAAUAUAAAUUUUGGGCUUGUACACUGUGGGUUAUUUCUCCUCUGAGAUCAUCUGCUUUCAGUAAUUUUUUUCACUUUUGGAUCAAGUUGUCACUUGAGCACUUUGGAGUAUAUCUGGACUCAUCUGGUUUUGCUCUCCAUUUCUUAUCCCCUUGGAAUUACAAAGAUCGUCAGUUUGAUUUCAGUGUGCAUCUGAUAUGUGACAAGAUAAACAGUGCUGGGUAUGCUGGGCCCACAUUGUACUAGUGUCACCCUCCUCUGACAGAUGGCCAGCGUGGUGUCUGCUUUAGGAGCAUCCUUCAUUUGGAACUGCUUCCUGCAUCAUUGGUUUAUUGCAACUGGUAGUGACAUGGUUGGAAGAGUAACUUGCAAAAGCAGAUGACAUGAUGGUAUAAUUUAUACAAAUAAUUAUCCGUACACAGGCACACUGCUCAAAUGCAGAAAUAAUUUCUGUUGCCUUGAAAAAUGGUGGGGGGUUUAUGGAAGAUCCUUGCUCACUCAUGGCCUAAUUCAUUUUCUAUUACAAUAAAUUCAGUAAUUGUAGAAAAAGUCGCACACCUGCUUCCAUUUCUCGUAAUGGCUCUGCAGGUUGGACUGCAGCGUGAGUGAAAAGAUGGUCUGUUUUCAAAGCCUUGGCAGCCUGCAGUGACCUUCAGGAGGAUCGAGAUGCUCCGCUGGCUGGAGAAACAAUGGGGCAGAAGCCAGCGAGGCACAGCAGAUGCAGCGUUAUACUUCCCAAGUCAGAAGUGGUUAGCAGCAGCUCAGGGGAGGAGGAGGAGAAAAGGACCUCCCUCUGCAAGAUGUUUCUAUGCAAAAAGUAAACAUGGGUGAGAAAAAAUUUCAGAGAAGAAAAUAUUUGUUUUUCACUCUCUUAUAAAGCUUACUGCACGCACAAUAUCUAGACCAUGGACUGUAACCUGUUGAAAAGCAUGCAGGGAAAUAAAACUGGGACCUUUUCAUAGCAUAGCAUAUGGAAGAACUUAUAGUGGUCAUACUAUUUUGCAAUUAAAUUGUUUUCUGUGCAAAGCAUUAUAUUUAUUAUGAAAUGCAUAUGCUAUUUGUUCAAGUUGAGCAUGAUUAUUUGCAUUUUUGAUAAUGUAUGAGAAUAAUGUAACAAGAGCUGUAGGAGUUUGUUGACUAACUAAAAUGACCUCAUAUAGCUGUGUCUAGGAUCUAGAACAGAUAAGGCAGCACAAAUCUGAAAAUAUAUUUUUUAUUUUUGUAAGGAAUGAAAAGGAUUGCAGUAGACAGGGAAUAGAUAUGCCAUAUACUAAUAGUUUUAUUAAAAUGCUUAUAAAUGAUGUUAAAAUAGUUAUAAAACUGUCCUAACCAUGCAUGUUUGCAUGGUCUACACAUGAACAUUUAUCUGCACAAAUAAAAAUUCCCCUAAACCCACAAAUGCCCUGUUGUUCAUAUGUUGCCCAAAACUUUUAGGUUCUUAAUUUUACAUUAAAAUAUAUCAUUGUAAUUACAUUAGAACUAGGAAUAGUGGGGGAUAGAGACAAUAUAAUAUCAUAACAUUAAGAAUUUCAUUUUACUCUUACUUGAAAAAAAAUUAUACUCCUAGGUGGUUUUGCAACUCUCAGGAGCUCUUUCCUUACUUGUUCUUUACAGUUAGUGACCUACAUAAAAUCUGUGCUGAGUCUUCAAUCUGAAAUCUCUGAGUGCUCAGCAUAAAUAACACCUGAAGUUUUAGGUUUCUGUGUGCACAUACUGUCUUUCUAUAAAAAACACAGGUGUAAAAGAAAAAGAUGGAAAGGAUAUUCAGUUACUUUCGUCCUUCUACAUAUUUUUGACCAUCUUCACUUGGAAAUUUGAUGAAACUUGGCCCUGUCUCCAGAGUUAAAAUAGAGCAUGGACACAGAAACAUACUGUAUUUCAUUUCAGAGUAUUUGCCAACUCUAUGAAUUUCCAAGGAUUUCUCGGACCCAUGGAAGCAAAUAAAAAAAACCUCCUUUUUGUUUUUUUGCAGCAAAUUGCUCAACACACUAAACUCCAUACCAUUAAAUUGUGAGGCAUAUGCAUAGACUUUAUCUUUAACAAUGGCUUUGUGUCCAGCUUCCAUCAAGGCCACCCUGCUAUCCCUAAGAUUUUGUUUCCAGUGUCUCAUCUCAGGAGUCAUUUCUGUCCACUCCUAAGUGUGCCUCUGAACAGCCACAUCAGCCUCAUUUGAGAAUGUGUUAAAAUGCAGAUUCCUGGGACAUUGGCCCACAACUACUGAAUCAGAAACCUGGGAAGGGAUCCAGCAAUUUAUUUAUUUUAAUUAAGAAGACUUGCAGGUGGUUGUGAUGUGAGAAACCUCCUUGUUUCUAAUCCCCAUAGCCAAGAAUCUAUUUUAAUUAUUUGAUUAAUAUGUGACUUACAUAUAAUAAAGUACACACAUUUUUAUACAUACAUUUUGGUGACUUCUGACAUAUCUGCAUACCCCUUCAUCAACCACUGGAGUCAGGAUGUUGAACAUUUUCUCCAUCUCCCUGGAAAGUUUCCCUAGGUACCUUCACAGGUAAUCCCCACGACCUGCUCUUCCAGAAAUUUGAACUCCUUUUCAACACUAUUGAUUAAUGUUGCAUGUUCUAGAACUUCAUGUAAAUGCAAUCGUAUAGCCUGUAUCUGCUCUGUGUAUUUGUUUCAAAUUUACCCAUCUUGCUGGGUAUCAUGAGUUUCUUUCUUUUUAUUGCCAAGCAAUGACCCAUGGUAUGACUCUAUGACAGUUUUUAUCCAUUCAUUUGCUAUUGCACAUUAGGGCUGGUUACAGUUCAGGGUGAAUAUGAAUAAAACUGCUACGAACAUUCUUUUAUAGUCUUUUCGUGAAUGUAUUUUUAUUUAUUGUAAACUAGAACUGUAACUGCAGGACCACACAGUCAGUGUACUUGGAACUUUACAAGGCCGCCAAACUACUCUCUGUAGGGCUGCUGCAUUCCCAUGAGAAACACUUAACGCUCUGGCUUCGUCGGCGUCACCACCAGAAUUGGAUGCUGUCCGUGUUUUGUUGUCAUUGCUAUUUUUAAGUGUUUUCCCUUGCAAUGACUGUGGUUUUAAGUUUCAUUUCUUUUCAUGUGUUUGUUGGUCAUGAUGAAGUGUCUGCUAAGUUAUUUUGGCUAUUUUUAAUUGAGUUGAUUUUCUCAUUAUUAUUCAAUAUGAUGUGAUAUACAGGCCAAUGUUUUUUGUUUUUUCCACAUGGAUACAUAGUUAUUCCAACGUAUUUGUUGAAACUUCAGUCAAGUAUUUGUCUACUUUUCUAAAAUAAUUUGCCCUAGUUUUUAAAGUUUAAGGUUCAUAUCCAUUAUUCUUAAAUUUUGGACACUGGCUCUAUUAGAUAAUAAUGGUUUGCAAACAUAAAAAUACAGCUUUCAGUAUUCAUCUAAAUAUAAAUAUUAGUCUAAAUGUAAGUAUUAGUUUGGCCCAAAUUUCAGUAGAAAAAGGAAAAGACAAAAAAUGCCAUUAGGUAGAAUCUACCUCGCUGAAUGGUGAGUCUGCACUUUUAAGCAGCAUCUCAUUUGUUAAUGAAAAAUGUUACUCAGUGGACAAAGAUAAACUACCACUAGCUUUUCGAUGCUAAAUUGGAAGUAAAAUGACUUAAAUAAUGAAGUACUUAGUAAACUAUGUAUUGAUUUGUUAUGGCCACAGAAAAUAGCAAUUUUUAAAAUAGCUUUAUUUUUAUAAUGUUAUAAUAGAAAGACAUGUUUAUUUACAAAAACUGAGAUGUAAUAGAAAAACAGAGUAAUUAAAAUCAACCAUAAUUCUCCGAUUGUUAACUCGUGAUGUGUUGCUGUGUGUUCUUCCAAAUGUACUGUCACAAAAAUCAAAAUGGAAACAUUCUGUAGUUGUAAUUGUUUUCCUUAGAUCUCUUUGUGUCUUAGUAAAGAUUGGAAUAAUACAAGAUUUUAUUAUUUUACGGUCAUAAGUCUUGGAUAACCAUUUCUCUAGGGAUGAACAAACACGUUUUAUUAUUAUUGUUCUGUUUUGCUUUUCAUUGCAAACACUACUGUUAACAGCCUGAUAUGAAUAAUUUCGCAUUCUUGUCUAUUUUAAAUGGCAGUAUAUCUUUCAAUGAAUGAAAUUGAUAGUUCCAUUUAUUUUUCUUUCUUUUUCAUUUUUUCUUUCUUUUUUGAGGCAGGGUCUCACUACGUAGUAGUCCAGGCUGGCCUUGAACUCACUAUGUAGCCUAGGCUGGGUUUGAACUCAGUAAUCCUCCUGCCUCAGCUUCCUGGGUGCUGAGAUUACAGGCGUGCGGCACCACGCCUGGCUUCAUUUCUUUUUUAAUGUAUUUAUUCUUCAAUUUAAACAUUCAAUUUUGGUGACUUUGGCUGUGUCAGCAUAUUUAACCUACAGGGACAUUUACAAUCUGAAAGUAAACCAGAAAGCUGCCAAACCUUGUAUUUUUCCAGGGUUUUUGAAGACUUUAAUGAGUUUAUGUGCAUGGAAAUAGAUAAAAAUUUCUGCUAAACUUUCCUAUUAUUGAAAAUUGUGAGAAAUAUAGUCCUAUCAUUAAAUAUUAAUAUAACAAACAUUUAUUGUGCACAAGGCCCUUUCUACAUACAAAAGAGUUGAAAGAAAAUGUGAGGUACUAUGGAGGAGGAGAAAAAACUAGUAAGUAAAAUUUUCUCUUUUAUCAGAGGCAUUUGUUUUUAAAUUUUACCUUUUGUAAUAUAACUGAAUUUCAAGUAUUCAUAUGCCAUUUUAGUAGCAGUUUCUUACUCCAGGGUACUCAUGUAGCUUACAGGUACAUUAAUUAUUUAAUUUCUUUUCCCUCUGGAAAAAAGAAAAAGUCUGGAAUCCAAAAUUUUUUCUUACACAACUGCCUGUCCUUGGCCACUGGCAUGCAGUGGAGCAGGUCUUUCCUCCAUUUAUGGAGUAUUGUAUAAUAAAUGCGCUGAGCACCCUCAAGCAGUUUGCAACCUACCUGGGACUUGAAGACUUGAAAGUGGUUUAGCCAUGAGAAGGUGGGUGCACUGUUAAACCUGUCUGCCACAGAGACUGUGCCUCAGCUUCUCCUGACCGUCUCAUCCUGACCCCCUGGCCCCAUCCUCUAUGAUUCGGGGCAAAGUUCAUUCCAGGCUGGGGAGAUUCCUCAGGAUUUGUGCUCUGCACAGUCCCCGUAAUGCCUCAUGAAGGCCUGUUCAAAAGCGUGACUUGGUGUGAAUACAUAUGGAGAGCUUUUUCUUUAGAUUAUUAUGUUUACAAAGCAGGGCUGGGAGAAGAGCCCUGCCAGGCAGCAUUUACACAAACUUUAUUUUUAGUUUAAAUUGUUCAAUGAUCUUUGACCCAGAGACAAAUGUAGUACUAGUCAUUGUUUUAUGCCUCAUAUUAAAAAGCAAAAAAAAAUUUAACACAAAGGAAUAUUUAAUAUUUUUAGCCUAAGAUUACUACUUAAUUCAUUACACUGAGUAAUAUAUUAGAAAAAUAUUCCUGCCUGGAAAGAAUAAAGUCCUGAGUUCGAUUGCAGGUAUGGGGAAAAAUAUACAGCAUUAGAAUAAUAUUGAUAGGUUUGAUUGACAAGUCACUUUCAUAGUAAGAAUUUUUCACCUAUUAACUGGGUAAAUCUACAUCCUGGGAAACUCUAUUUGUAUUUUAGGUAUCUUAAAAGUUUCAUUUAUUUGAUACAUAUCGUGUUGGAGAUUUCAUUUCCUCUGGUGCUUAUAAAUGUAUACUGCUAAGGAUUUUUUAUAGUGUGGGAAGUGAAUCCACAGUCCCCAGCGUCCGCUAGAUUCCUUAUAGAAAGCCAGCUUCCACAGGCCCGUCUUCUUUAUCUGUGUCUGUUAUCUCUGUUGCAGUCGCGACAAGGUGGGUGAAUGGUUCUCCAAGAAUCAGGAGCCACCGCUUUGUGAGCAGUGCUCUUUUCUGCCUCCUUCCUGCCAGCUAAUGUCACUGCUUCCUUAUCUUUCGCUUCUUUCCUACCUGCCUGACUCACAAUGCUGGUUGGUCGUCAGUGACAGCUGUGUCCCAACUGCCUGGGAGCAAGAAUGUCUCCAUGGACAUUUCGCAGUUUUAUUGGCAGUUUUAUUGGCAGGCGUGGAGCUGUUGGGAAAAUAGCCUCACAAACCUGUUUUCUCAUGCACUUCUUACCUGGAAUUUGCGUCAUUCUGCGACUGGGAGGCAGGGCGUCCAGGAGUCUCCGGUUCUAAGUGAAAACACUGAAGGUGCUAUUAUUUUCUGUAUUUAUAGUUAAGUCUUCAGUGAGCUGUGCAGUCAGUGAGGGACUAAACUAUAUUCCACUGUGACGGCAAGUCAUCAGGGACAAGAAUAUUAAGUCUAAGGACCUAUGACCUAAAGAGACUUUUUAAAAAUUCAUUUUUGAAAAAAUUCAGUUUACUCUUAAUAUAUCCCUAUACUUAUUAGCAUAUACAUUUUCAACUUAAACUUUUAAUAGGCAUUUACUUUAAUCAGUUUUAAAUAUUUUUCUUGAAAUAAAGACUUCAAUAAAUAUUAAUUACUUAGUUCCUCCAUAUGAGCAAUGUCAGAAUAUAAAUUUCCCCUAAUUAAGUGUAGUCAUCUGCUUUCUAAAGCAAUCACUUCUUAGCACUCAUUAUGUGACUCAAGUCAUUAAAUUUUUAACUGUAUCAAUCUUACCUCAAAUUGAGUAAUUCUUACCUUAUGAAUUUCAAUAUUAUAUGUACCAAAAUCAUCCAACCCUCCAAAUAAUUGUAAUCAAAAAACAAUAUGAAACAAAUAAGAAUUUCUUUAAGAGUAAACUUGAAUUCACCUCACACUAUUAUUAAUUAAAAUGAUAAUAUUCCAAAUUUUCUUGGAUAAGUUAGUACCAAUAUUUUAUUAUCCAUUAAAAGAAAGGAAAUCACAUCUCACUAGUAAAUACCAAUUCAUCAGCUUUUGAAUUUAAAUGCAAAUAUUUUCUACCUCUUACCUUUGCAAAGAGCUAAAGUAGAAAUUGCAUAUGCUAUGCAUUACAUUACACAGGCUUAAAAAGUCAAUUAUUUUUAGCACUAGUCUCUGAAAUCUUAUUUUAGAUCAACAUGAAUGAAUUCAAUUUUUAUCCUACUUUAUAUAUUAAAUUUUACUACAAUAGUAAAAUUCUCAGACUUUUUUAAUUUAAAAACUAGGAUUUUAUUAUAGUUCUUAGAAAUCCCUGUGUAAUUUUCAGUACAUUACUACAUGAAUAACAAAGUACAAGUUGUUCUGAUAUACAUACUUCAAAUAUGACCUCUAUUUUUUUCAUAAGGAACAGACAAUUUUUCAUAUAUUAUUAAACCACUGGUAUACUGAGUAGUGAUGAGGAGGAUGUCUUAGCAAACUUACCCUAGACCACAGUAUAAGGAUUCAAUACUAAAGUUGGGUAUUUCCUCUCAGUACCCGAAAUCUUAAUUUGGACCUUCUGUACUAACAGUAAUGGAUAUCCAGUUUUCUCUAAUCAUGACUUGGGAUUUUUUUGCUGAACAGCAACAUAGUAAGAUCCUUGUGCUGCUCCUGCUUCUGCCAUUACUUGUACAGAGCACGCACACAGACACCACCAAGAGCCUACAAGUUGCUGCCAUUGCUUCUACUGUAGUGGUCAGAAUCAAAUUUCAAGAAAAACAAAGACGUUAAAAUGCACUCAGAAAAAAGUAAUAUUUUUUCUAUCAUUUGCUCCUUAAGUAUGGUAUAUUAAGCAUCUAAGACUUCUCUUAAUGAUUGUGAUUUCUAACUAAAUCUGAAGUAAGUAGGGUUUACUAGAUUUAGGACUCAUUUUAUUAAACCCACUGGAUUCCUAUGCUAUAAAGCACCUAAUACAUUUUAACUUGAGUACUCAAAUAACAUCUCUCAAGUAUAACUUUUGAUAUGACUAUGUAUAUAUCUGGUGGAACAAACACCCCAUACUUCUCUCCUUUUUUCUAACCUGGGAAGUGAAAAAGUUUUAAGUCUAUAAUCACAUUGACAAGUAACAAUUUAUAACAAGAACAUAAGAAAAAACACUACAAACAUACGAUCAACGAGCUCUGAAAUCCUCUAGUCACUGUGAGGGCAGUCUUAAUAUUAGGAAGGUGCUCUUUGUUCUAUUCACUAUGUUCACAUUUGAAUUGAUGGUGUAAAAAUCUAGUGAAUAGCACCAAACUGACUGCCACGUAUUCAUGCUAAGAGAAGGAGUAGGAAAAGGAGGAAUAAGACAGCUUUAUCUGGGAAUGUGCUUGAUAAAGCAGUCAACGUUACUAAUUCCAUUAAACCUGAAUCUGUGAGUAUAGUCUUUUUGAUAAGCCAUGUGUUAAAAUGGGAAAAAUGCAAAGACAUUCUGCACUAAAAUACAAAGGUAGGCUUACAGGAAAAGCUCAUAUGGAUUGUUUGAGUUGCUAGCUGAACUAGCCACUUUCAUGAAGCAAAGGUAUACUUGAAAGAAAGAUUAGCAGAUAAGCUAUUGUUAUUCACAUGUGGAUAGUCUACAGAUAUUUUCUCAAAGAUAAACAAAACAAGCCUGUCAUUUCUGGAGAAACAAGUAUAGUAUUUAUUUCCAGUGACAAUAUUAAAAAUUUCAAGUAACACUAUUGGAAAUUUUAUAUAUGCCACAGAUUUCCAAUAUGUAAAGACUCUUCUGAUGAGAUAACUGGCAAUAUCACUAAAUGUAAUUUUUGGAUAAUGAAAUGUGUCAACAUUUGGAAGAUCUUCAGAACUCAGGGCAAUAUUUUCCAAAUGCCUUGUGCAUGAUGUGAAGAUUUAUGCAUGAUAAAUGAUCCAUUCAAAGUGAAAAAUAGACCAUUGAACUUUAAUGUAAUAGAGUACAUUUAUGUGGUUUGAGAUUCCACAUUGCAGUAAACUUUUGAGAAUCUGUUACUUGUCAAGUUUUGGUGUAAUAUUAAAGAAAUACACCCACAAUUAUCUGAAAAGGCUAAUAAAUUACUUCUUCCUUGCUCAACUACAUAUCUGUGUGAAACCUUUUUUAUUUAUGUCAACCCAGACAAUAUAUUGCAAUAGAAUGAAUGUUGAAAUAUUUGUAAAAAUCCAGCUGUUUUGUAUUAAGCCAGAUCUGAAAGAUUUGCAAAAACUGUAAAACAACAUCUCUCUUUUCACAAGUCUUUGUUUUGAAAGGGUCCUAAUUUUUAUAUUGACAUUGUUUAUGUUACCAUGUAGUAAAUUGGUCCAUUAUUUCUAUUUUUAAAUGGAUCAAUAUUUUCAGAAACUCUUAGCUUAAAUUUCUGGUGUGGUUAAGAACUGUACAGGUAGAGCCUUAGGUUUGUAGCUCGGAUAGAAGCACAUAUUUAUCCUAAGUGAGGCUCUGAGUUCCAUCUAUAACAGUACAAAAAAAGAAAAAAAAAUAGAUUUAAGUUAUAUAAACAAAAGUUUCAGAAGCCAAACAUUGAGAAUUGCUUAUAUAAAUCAUCAGAUGAGUAUGCAACAAGCUGUUAAAAUCUAAAAUGAGGCUUAACCACUAGAGGGAGCUUUUAUUUUAUAUAAAUGUAUAGCAUAGAGGCAUUAAGAAUUUGCAUGAAAAAUGUAAGACUUCUAUGAUAGCAGUAUUAAAUAUAUAACACAAAGCUUUAUUAGAAUCCUACUGCUUUAUUUCUUCAGUAGCCCAGUAGACAAAAUGAAAGAAUUUUCUUCUGUAGGCAUAAUUUUUCUGUGAAUACUAUGGUUAAGAAAAUUAGUUUUACAUUUUAGACAUUCAAAAAAAUCAUGGAUCCUUAAUAUAUGAUACCAUAUGAAAAGAACUCAAUGGUUUUUCUUCUGCUUAUAAAUAGCAGGGCAUGAUGUGAGUCUUUCUGUUGACUGGCCUUUGAGGAAUUGCUAACUGAUUACAAAUCAGUCAGAGACACUGCUGAGAUCUUGCAUAUCUCCCAAGAUGCUUGCAUUAGUCACAGGGAGAUGGCUGUCCAUGUGAAAGUGGUAACUAAAUCCUGAGUGAUUUAUGUCUACUCUGAGGUCCACAGAAUCAUGUCACUACUGCAUCCUGCCAUCCCUGUGGUUUGAUGAACUCUUUUAAAUGAUACCCAUUUUUAUAAUAAAGUUUAUCUUUGUCUUCUUGAAGUCUUGAUAUGAAAAAAUCACAUAAUUCUUAAGAGAUGGGGAGACUGGAUGAAGAUGUGGGUUUUUUAAUAAAAUGGAGUACUAUUCAGCCAUAAAGAAUGAGAAAUUAGAGGCAUUUAUAGCUAAAUAGAUGCACAUUGAGGCAAUACUCUUAAGUGAAAUAGGACACACAUGUGUAAAUAAGUGAAAUAGGACACACAUAGUUUCUGUGGUGUGAGAAACUGAAGGUGUAAAUAAGGAACAAAAUGUAUAAUAGAUAAUGUGAAAUAGGAAGAAACGGUGCAAAGGUGAAGGGGAAGUGUGAGGGGUACAGGAAAGGAAAGGGGAAUGGAAUUAACAUAAGAAAAUGGAAAAAUGGAAAUACAGUGUUUGUAAAUAGGGAAGGGUGGAGGGGUUGAAGGAAGGGCAGGAUAUGGGGAAAAAUAAGAAUCAAGAUAUAUUAUGUAAAGGUACAAAUCUUCUAAUGAUGAAUGUCAUUGUAUUGUAUACCUAAAAUGCACCAAUAAAAUUUUUUAAAAAAGGGAGAUGGGCAGUCUCAAUAAAGCUGUUAGAUUACUUCUUUAGAAGGAAUCGUGUGCAUUAUUAUGUGGAUUUCAUAAAUACUCUCAAAUGAAUAGUGUUCUGGUAAAACUAAAGCUCAGCACGUCCAAAUUUGCAGCAGCUGUGUUGUUACAAAUCCUUCAGGAUGCUUGUCCCCUGGUAAGAUAUCAUAUGC